rnacentral:misc_RNA from 1 species
GAUGAAGAACGUAGCGAAAUGCGAUAAGUAAUGUGAAUUGCAGAAUUCAGUGAACCAUCGAAUCUUUGAACGCACAUUGCGCCCGGCAGUAAUCUGCCGGGCAUGCCUGUCCGAGCGUCAUUUCUGCCCUCGAGCGAGUUCCAGCAUCUAGGUGCUGGGGCCCGCCCGGCGUUGGGGCACUACGGGAGAGCACCUGUGCUGCCCGUAGGCCCUGAAAUGAAGUGGCGGUCCUGCCGCGGCGCCCCCUGCGUAGUAUAACAGCUCGCUUCGGGACCCGGUGGAGGCCAGCCGUCAAACCUACAUUCUCUAAGUUUGACCUCGGAUCAGGUAGGGUUACCCGCUGAACUUAAGCAUAUCAAUAAGCGAGGA